CUUCUUUCAAGGCAGGAGUCGUGACGUGGAAGGAUUCUGCUUGUGAAAUACAAUUUUGGCAGAAGUGGAUCAUCUGAUGAUCAGAAUGGUUAUUUCUCUUUCCAGGCUGCUGACAGGUUCCUCCCUGACUCAAACUGCCCAUUUGGGCCGAGAAGCCUAUUCUGAGAGACCCCUGCUGUGGAGAGGAGGGAAUACAGCUCUCUGUUCCAGGAGAUCUUGAGAGAAGAUGAAUCUUGUGGACAUCAGGGAGAAGAUAAACCAUUGGCUUCUCAACUUCCAGCACUUUUCAUCCUAUGGGCAGCCAUGAGAUCUUGUGCAGUAGAGAUGGGAGCAGAUGGUAUCUUAACACUUGGACAGACAAAGGAUGCUGACCACAGAUCUCACUCAUGGGCCUGCGUGAAUCCUGUAUCACCACCAUCGUUAAAGUUUCUCUCCGUUGAAGCCCUCUGUGGAACAAGACACAUCUCAAAGCUUCUCUCUGCUUCUUCUGCAUCUCAGAUUUACCAUCUGAUUGAGAUGAGAUGGCUGGAUGGCAUCACCGACUCGAUGGACAUGAGUUUGAGUAAACUCUGGGAGUUGGUGAUGGACAAGGAGACCUGGCGUGCUGCGAUUCAUGGGGUCGCAAAGAGUCGGACACGACUGAGCGACUGAACUGAUUGACUGAUGUUUUAAAACUAAUUUCAGAAAUCACUGGUGCACCACGUUCACCAUAUCUCUGGGGAAAGGAGACGCCAACCUGAGGAGCAACCAUGGGUUGUAAAUGUAGAUAAUCAAGAGCUUGGCCACACCCACCAUCCCUGUGGUCUUACUUUGGUUUGUCCUCAUUCAUUCUGUCUUGAGAUUCAGUUUCUUGUCUGAAUCCAUCGCCUUGCUCUUUUGGGGGCGAUAAACAAUUUCCGUUCAGGCCUUCUUGGACAUCACUUCUAUUUAUUUCACAAUCUGGAACUACUGAGGGUGGUUCCUCGGGUGGAGGAUAAAUCAGAAUUCACUCAGAACCAAAGAGGCAGGGUGAUAUAAGGGAGGGUUUUUAUCUGUGCUAGUGUUUGCUUUGGUGGUACAUACACUUAAAAUGAUUUUAAGUAUUAAAUCAUGCAUGCAAGGCAGGAAAGAGUUAAUCUGUCCCAGCCCCAUAGCGGAGAAGCAUGGGGAAACAUUAGCCAUCUUUGGGGAUAUUCUGUGUUCCAGGAGCUCUAGUAAACACUUUGCAUCUAGUAACUCAAUGACGCCUCACACUCACCAUACUAUGUGUUAGAAACAAUUCUUUUCCUUCAGUUUUCAGAUGAGGACACUGACACUAAAAACUUUUAGCA
ensembl:lncRNA